rnacentral:rRNA from 1 species
GAUGAACGCUAGCGGCAGGCUUAAUACAUGCAAGUCGAGGGGUAGCAAGAUUGUAGCAAUACAAUUGUUGACGACCGGCAAACGGGUGCGGAACACGUACACAACCUUCCUACAAGUGGGGAAUAGCCCAGAGAAAUUUGGAUUAAUACCCCGUAACAUAGCGAUGUGGCAUCACAUUGCUAUUAUAGCUUCGGCGCUUGUUGAUGGGUGUGCGGCUGAUUAGAUAGUUGGCGGGGUAACGGCCCACCAAGUCUACGAUCAGUAGCUGAUGUGAGAGCAGGAUCAGCCACACGGGCACUGAGACACGGGCCCGACUCCUACGGGAGGCAGCAGUAAGGAAUAUUGGACAAUGGACGCAAGUCUGAUCCAGCCAUGCCGUGUGAAGGAUUAAGGUCCUCUGGAUUGUAAACUUCUUUUAUAAGGGACGAAAAAAGGUCUUUCUAGAUCGUCUGACGGUACCUUAUGAAUAAGCACCGGCUAACUCCGUGCCAGCCGCCGCCGUAAUAC